CGCUGGCGGCAGCCCUUAUACAUGCAAGUCGAACGAGAAAGUUCCUUCGGGAGCGAGUAAAGUGGCGGACGGGUGAGUAACGCGUAGGAAUCUACCUUUCAGUGGGGGAUAGCUCGGGGAAACUCGAAUUAAUACCGCAUACACCCUUCGGGGGAAAGGGGGCCUCUCCUUGGAAGCUCUCGCUGUUAGAUGAGCCUGCGUGAGAUUAGCUUGUUGGUAAGGUAAUGGCUUACCAAGGCUACGAUCUCUAGCUGGUCUGAGAGGACGAUCAGCCACACUGGGACUGAGACACGGCCCAGACUCCUACGGGAGGCAGCAGUAGGGAAUAUUGGACAAUGGGGGAAACCCUGAUCCAGGCAUGCCGCGUGUGUGAAGAAGGCCUUAGGGUUGUAAAGCACUUUAAGUGAGGAAGAAAAGAUUUAAACUAAUACUUUAAGUCCCUGACAUUACUCACAGAAUAAGGACCGGCUAACUCCGUGCCAGCAGCCGCGGUAAUACGGAGGGUCCAAGCGUUAAUCGGAAUUACUGGGCGUAAAGCGCGCGUAGAUGGUUUAUUCAGUUGGGUGUGAAAUCCCUGGGCUCAACCUAGGAACUGCAUUCAAAACUUAUAAACUAGAGUACGAAAGAGGAGAGUAGAAUUCAUGGUGUAGCGGUGAAAUGCGUAGAGAUCAUGAGGAAUACCAGUGGCGAAGGCGACUCUCUGGUUCGAGACUGACAUUGAGGUGCGAAAGCGUGGGUAGCAAACAGGAUUAGAUACCCUGGUAGUCCACGCCGUAAACGAUGAGAACUAGCCGUUGGAUCAUUAGAUUCAGUGGCGCAGCUAACGCAUUAAGUUCUCCGCCUGGGGAGUACGGCCGCAAG
rnacentral:rRNA from 1 species